CCUACGGGAGGCAGCAGUCGAGAAUCAUUCACAAUGGGGGCAACCCUGAUGGUGCGACGACGCGUGGGGGAAUGAAGGUCUUCGGAUUGUAAACACCUGUCAUGUGGGGGCAAAUUAAAAAGAUAGUACCACAAGAGGAAGAGACGGCUAACUCUAUGCCAGCAGCCGCGGUACUACAGAGGUAUCACGCGUUGUUCGAAAUCACUGGGCGUAAAGCGUGCGUAGGCUGUUUCGUAAGUCGUGUGUGAAAGGCGCGGGCUCAACCCGCGGACGGCACAUGAUACUGCGAGACUAGAGUAAUGGAGGGGGAACCGGAAUUCUCGGUGUAGCAGUGAAAUGCGUAGAUAUCGAGAGGAACACUCGUGGCGAAGGCGGGUUCCUGGACAUUAACUGACGCUGAGGCACGAAGGCCAGGGGAGCGAAAGGGAUUAGAUACCCCAGUAGUC
rnacentral:rRNA from 1 species